rnacentral:rRNA from 1 species
GACGAACGCUGGCGGCGUGCUUAACACAUGCAAGUCGAACGGAAAGGCCCUGCUUUUGUGGGGUGCUCGAGUGGCGAACGGGUGAGUAAAACGUGAGUAACCUGCCCUUGACUUUGGGAUAACUUCAGGAAACUGGGGCUCAUACCGGAUAGGAGCUCCUGCUGCAUGGUGGGGGUUGGAAAGUUUCGGCGGUUGGGGAUGGACUCGCGGCUUAUCAGCUUGUUGGUGGGGUAGUGGCUUACCAAGGCUGUGACGGGUAGCCGGCCUGAGAGGGUGACCGGCCACAUUGGGACUGAGAGACGGCCCAGACUCCUACGGGAGGCAGCAGUGGGGAAUAUUGCACAAUGGGCGGAAGCCUGAUGCAGCAACGCCGCGUGCGGGAUGACGUCCUUCGGGUUGUAAACCGCUUUCGCCGGUGACGUAGCGGGAGUGACGGUAAUGGGUAAAGAAGCACCGGCUAACUACGUG